rnacentral:rRNA from 1 species
CCUACGGGUGGCAGCAGUGAGGAAUAUUGGUCAAUGGACGAGAGUCUGAACCAGCCAAGUAGCGUGAAGGAUGACUGCCCUAUGGGUUGUAAACUUCUUUUAUAAAGGAAUAAAACGAGGCACGUGUGCCUUUUUGCAUGUACUUUAUGAAUAAGGAUCGGCUAACUCCGUGCCAGCAGCCGCGGUAAUACGGAGGAUCCGAGCGUUAUCCGGAUUUAUUGGGUUUAAAGGGAGCGUAGAUGGGUUGUUAAGUCAGUUGUGAAAGUUUGCGGCUCAACCGUAAAAUUGCAAUUGAUACUGGCAGUCUUGAGUACAGUUGAGGUAGGCGGAAUUCGUGGUGUAGCGGUGAAAUGCUUAGAUAUCACGAAGAACCCCGAUGGCGAAGGCAGCUUACUAAACUGUGACUGACGCUGAGGUUCGAAAGCGUGGGUAGCAAACAGGAUUAGAUACCCGUGUAGUC